rnacentral:rRNA from 1 species
CCUUAUGACCUGGGCUACACACGUGCUACAAUGGGAAGUACAAUGAGUCGCUAGACCGCGAGGUCAUGCAAAUCUCUUAAAGCUUCUCUCAGUUCGGAUUGCAGGCUGCAACUCGCCUGCAUGAAGCCGGAAUCGCUAGUAAUCGCGGAUCAGCACGCCGCGGUGAAUACGUUCCCGGGCCUUGUACACACCGCCCGUCACACCACGAGAGUUUGUAACACCCGAAGUCGGUGAGGUAACCUUUUUGGAGCCAGCCGCCUAAGGUGGGAUAGAUGAUUGGGGUGAAGUCGUAACAAGGUAGCCGUAUCGGAAGGUGCGGUUGGAUCACCU